rnacentral:rRNA from 1 species
GUGCCAGCCGCCGCGGUAAGACGAACCGUCCAAACGUUAUUCGGAAUUAUUGGGCUUAAAGGGUGCGUAGGCUGUGCAGUAAGUUGGGUGUGAAAUCCCUCGGCUCAACCGAGGAACUGCGCCGAAUACUGCUGUGCUAGAGGAAGAUAGGGGUAAGCGGAACUGAUGGUGGAGCGGUGAAAUGCGUUGAUAUCAUCAGGAACACCGGUGGCGAAGGCGGCUUACUGGAUCUUUUCUGACGCUGAUGCACGAAAGCUAGGGGAGCGAACGGGAUUAGAAACCCCCGUAGUCC